rnacentral:rRNA from 1 species
UGAGGAAUAUUGGUCAAUGGACGCAAGUCUGAACCAGCCAUGCCGCGUGCAGGAUGACGGCUCUAUGAGUUGUAAACUGCUUUUGUACGAGGGUAAACCCGGAUACGUGUAUCCGGCUGAAAGUAUCGUACGAAUAAGGAUCGGCUAACUCCGUGCCAGCAGCCGCGGUAAUACGGAGGAUUCAAGCGUUAUCCGGAUUUAUUGGGUUUAAAGGGUGCGUAGGCGGUUUGAUAAGUUAGAGGUGAAAUACCGGUGCUUAACACCGGAACUGCCUCUAAUACUGUUGAGCUAGAGAGUAGUUGCGGUAGGCGGAAUGUAUGGUGUAGCGGUGAAAUGCUUAGAGAUCAUACAGAACACCGAUUGCGAAGGCAGCUUACCAAACUAUAUCUGACGUUGAGGCACGAAAGCGUGGGGAGCAAACAGGAUUAGAUACCCUGGUAGUCCACGCAGUAAACGAUGAUAACUCGUUGUCGGCGAUACACAGUCGGUGACUAAGCGAAAGCGAUAAGUUAUCCACCUGGGGAGUACGUUCGCAAGAAUGAAACUCAAAGGAAUUGACGGGGGCCCGCACAAGCGGAGGAACAUGUGGUUUAAUUCGAUGAUACGCGAGGAACCUUACCCGGGCUUGAAAGUUACUGACGAUUCUGGAAACAGGAUUUCCCUUCGGGGCAGGAAACUAGGUGCUGCAUGGUUGUCGUCAGCUCGUGCCGUGAGGUGUCGGGUUAAGUCCCAUAACGAGCGCAACCCCUACCGUUAGUUGCCAUCAGGUCAAGCUGGGCACUCUGGCGGGACUGCCGGUGUAAGCCGAGAGGAAGGUGGGGAUGACGUCAAAUCAGCACGGCCCUUACGUCCGGGGCUACACACGUGUUACAAUGGUAGGUACAGAGGGUCGCUACCCCGCGAGGGGAUGCCAAUCUCGAAAGCCUCUCUCAGUUCGGAUUGGAGUCUGCAACCCGACUCCAUGAAGCUGGAUUCGCUAGUAAUCGCGCAUCAGCCACGGCGCGGUGAAUACGUUCCC